UACAGAGGGUGCGAGCGUUAAUCGGAAUUACUGGGCGUAAAGCGUGCGUAGACGGUAGCGUAAGUCAGAUGUGAAAGCCCCGGGCUCAACCUGGGAAUUGCAUUUGAGACUGCUCUGCUCGGGUGCGGAAGAGGGAAGCGGAAUUUCCGGUGUAGCGGUGAAAUUCGUAGAUAUUCGCAAGAACACCAGUGGCGAAGGCGGCUCACUGGCCCGAUACUGACGCUGAGGCACGAAAGCGUGGGGAGCAAACAGG
rnacentral:rRNA from 1 species